rnacentral:snRNA from 1 species
UUACAUGUUUGGGAUGCA